rnacentral:rRNA from 1 species
UGCCAGCCGCCGCGGUAAUACGGGGGGUGCAAGCGUUAUCCGGAUUCACUGGGUUUAAAGGGUGCGCAGGCGGACCGAUAAGUCAGUGGUGAAAUCCCGCAGCCCAACUGCGGAACUGCCAUUGAAACUGCCGGUCUUGAGUUCGGUUGAGGUAGACGGAAUGUAGCAUGUAGCGGUGAAAUGCUUAGAUAUGCUACAGAACACCGAUUGCGAAGGCAGUUUGCCAAACCGAUACUGACGCUGAGGCACGAAAGCGUGGGGAGCGAACAGGAUUAGAUA